AUACGGAGGGUGCAAGCGUUAAUCGGAAUUACUGGGCGUAAAGCGUACGUAGGCGGUUCGCUAAGUCGGAUGUGAAAUCCCCGGGCUCAACCUGGGACGUGCAUUCGAAACUGACGGACUAGAGUCUGGAAGAGGUUGGUGGAAUUCCCGGUGUAGCGGUGAAAUGCGUAGAGAUCGGGAGGAACAUCAGUGGCGAAGGCGACUGACUGGUCCAAGACUGACGCUGAGGUACGAAAGCGUGGGGAGCAAACAGGAUUAGAAACCCCAGUAGUCC
rnacentral:rRNA from 1 species